rnacentral:rRNA from 1 species
GAUGAACGCUAGCGGCAGGCUUAACACAUGCAAGUCGAAUGGUAAGUUAGAAGCUUGCUUCUAACACGAGUGGCGCACGGGUGCGUAACGCGUAUGCAAUCUACCCUUUUCUGGAGAAUAGCCCUUAGAAAUGAGGAUUAAUACUCCAUAGUAUAACAAUUUCGCAUGUUAUUGUUAUUAAAGCUUCGGCGGAAAAGGAUGAGCAUGCGUCCCAUUAGUUUGUUGGUGAGGUAACGGCUCACCAAGACUACGAUGGGUAGGGGACCUGAGAGGGUUAUCCCCCACACUGGUACUGAGACACGGACCAG